rnacentral:rRNA from 1 species
UAUGUGAUCGUCUCUCGCAUAUCAAUAAGCGGAGGAAAAGAAACUAACAAGGAUUCCCCUAGUAACGGCGAGUGAAGCGGGAAGAGCUCAAAUUUGAAAUCUUAAAGGGUUUCCCUUUACGAAUUGUAGUUUAAAGAAGUGUUUUCUGCUGAGGUUUUGGUAAAAGUUCUUUGGAAUAGGACAUCAUAGAGGGUGAGAAUCCCGUAUUUGACCUUUACUUUCAACUUUGUGAUACACUUUCAAAGAGUCGGAUUGUUUGGGAAUGCAGUCCAAAAUGGGUGGUAAAUUUCAUCUAAAGCUAAAUAUUGGCGAGAGACCGAUAGCGAACAAGUACCGUGAGGGAAAGAUGAAAAGAACUUUGAAAAGAGAGUUAAACAGUACGUGAAAUUGUCAAAAGGGAAGCGUUUGACACCAGUGUUGUUUUUCUGAAAAUCAAUUAAAGAACUGUUUAUGCUAAGUUGUUUAGACUUUAUCAGCUAUCUGUUUAGUUUUGAGCUUUUCUUUAAUGCACUUUUCAGUUAACAAGUCAACAUCAAUUUCUUUUGCUGUAAAAAAGCUUGAGGAAGGUGGCUUGAGAUUCGUCUUAAGUGUUUAUAGCCUCUUGCCUAUGCAGUCGGAGAGAUUGAGGUCUGCAGCGUAGAUCCUUCGGGGCUAAAUGCAUUUGUGCUAAGUUAUAGCAUUUUAUAGACAACUUGUUGACUAUGAUUGGUCUUGUAGCUUACUCGCUUAUGUUAUUUUACCUACGCUUAGGAUGUUGAAGACUCUACAGAGAUA